CGUUAUAAAAAGUUAAACCUAGCGGCAUCAUCGUAUCAUUUUCCAUUGCUCUUGAAUUGUAACUGUAAUUUGCAUCGAAGAGAGAAGUUAAACACGCUGAGCUGAGUUGAGUAGGGAAUUGAAGGAAUGGCAGCUGAAGCUGUGGUUACUUUUGCUGCGGAGGAAAUACUGAAGAAGGUGCUUUCACUUGCUGAGAAAGAACUCCGUCUAGCAUGGGGUUUCAAAGCUGAACUCCGAAACCUUCAAGAGUCAUUCGGUAACAUUAAACUUUUAUUGAAUGAUGUUGCCGACAAACCACAAGCUCCUGCAAUAGAGGAAUGGGUGAAGAAACUCAAAGGCGUAGCCGAGGAUGCUGAGGAUGUCUUGGAUGAAUUCAAGUACGAAGUUGAUCGGCGUAAAGUCGAAAUCCAAAACCAUAUGAAGAGAAAGAUUCUGAAUUUCUUUUCACUCUCCAAUCCACUUGCAUUUCGUCUUCAAAUGGCGCGUAAAAUUCAGAAGAUCAAUGCAUCCUUGGUGGAUCUCAAGACUGAAGCAUCUCCUCUUGGACUAGUUUCCACCAGGAAUACAGAUGCAACCCGUCAGAGAAUUACAUGGGACAGAAAGCGACUCACUCAUUGGCAAAGAUGAAAUAAUUGUUGGAAGGGAAGAUGAUGUGUCGAAUAUAGUUAAAACCUUGACCGGCUCCAAAUACGACCAAGAGAAUCUUGCGGUUAUGGCCAUUGUGGGAAUGGGAGGCCUCGGAAAAACAACUUUGGCCAAGUCGGUUUUCAAUGAGGAUUUGAUACAAAAUUCUUUUGAAGUUAGAAUAUGGAUUUGUGUAUCGAACCCUUUCGACGUCAAUUUAAUUCUGCUCCAUAUGUUAGAACAUCUCAAUCCCCCACCAGUCCUUUCGAAAGAUAAUAAGAAUGUUCUUCUUGUGUCCCUUAAAGAAAGGUUGGAAAAAAAAAAAUUCUUACUUGUACUUGAUGAUGUUUGGAACGAAGAUCAAGAAACAUGGGAUAGUUUAAUGGAAUGUUUGUCAAAGCUUAAUUUUGCUGGGGGAUCCAAAAUUAUUGUCACUACUCGCAAUGACAAAGUAGCAUUAAUCUCAGAAAAGCUACUUCCACGACAUGAAUUGGGAGAAUUUUCUACGGAUGAAUGUUGGUCCAUCAUGAAAGCUAAAGCUUGGCCCAUUAGCAGUGCUCCUGAGUUCGAGAAAAUUGGAAAAGAGAUUGCUAAAAAUUGUGGUGGUGUUCCAUUGGCGGCAAAGGUUUUGGGAGGCAUCUUGCAGACUAGAAAAAGUAUUGAAGAUUGGUCGUCAUUUAAAAACAAUAGAAUAUGGGCCAACCUAUCAAAAGAAGAUAAAAUUAUGUCAAUCUUGAAGUUGAGUUUUGACAACUUAGGAUCAUCAUCAUUGAAGCAAUGUUUUGCAUAUUGCUCAAUGUUUGAGAAAGAUUCAAAAAUUCAAAGAGAUAUCUUGGUUCAACUUUGGAUGGCUCAAGGACUACUCCACCAUUCGCCUGGUGAAAGUAAAGAUAUGAAGAUUAAAGGCAAUGACUCGACUGGUGAAAGUAAAAAUAUGGAGGACAUAGGCAAUGAAUAUUUUGAUAUUCUAUUGCAGAGCUCUUUAUUUCAAGAUGUUAUAAUGGAUCGUUAUGGCAUUGUUCAGGAAUGCAAGAUGCACGAUCUUGUGCAUGAUCUUGCAGAAAUUGUAUACAAAUCCGAAAGCUUGACGAGUGACUCAAGUGUCAUAGAUAAUACACUUGAGGUUCGACAUGUUGCUCGGGUUUCUACUUCUAAACUAGAAACAAUUCCAAAAAAAAGUGCUGGAAAAUUGCGGUCACUGUUUUUGGACGACGAUGAAGUUCCUACUAACAUUCAUCUACGGUUCAAAGCUUUACGCGUCUUCAAAUUUAGUAAUCCUAAUAUUAAAGAAUUUCCAGAUUCAAUUGGUAGGUUGAAACAUUUGAGGUAUCUUGACAUUUCCAAAACAAGAUUCGAAGCACUCCCUAAGUCUAUAGGCAAGCUCUAUAACCUUCAGACGUUAAGAGCAACGAAAUGUGCCCUUAAAGAGUUUCCAAAAGAACUGCUAAACUUGAUCAACCUAAGGCAUAUUCAUUUUGGUGUGAGUACGAAACUCCCACAAGGGAUAAGGCAGUUGACUUGUCUUCAAACAUUACCUUACUUUUUAGUGGGUAAUGAGAUUGGUCGUCAAAUCGAAGAGUUGGCUGGCUUGAAUCAAUUGAGAGGUAAAUUAAUCAUUCGUGAUCUGGAGCACGUAGAGAACAGAGAAGAAGCAGAGAAAGCUAAAUUAGAAGAAAAGACGAAAGUAUGCCAUUUGACAUUCAAAUGGAGUGGAGAUAGGUCAAUAAUUGACAACAAUGAGGACAACGAUGUAUUGGAAGGCUUACGACCGCAUCCUAAGUUACAGAGCUUAAGUAUUGUAAACUUCAUGGGCGAUAAGUUUCCAUCGUGGAUGGCUAACUUGAAAUAUGUUGGCGCUGAGUUCUGCAAUUCUCUUGAGAGAUUGGUUAUUGAAAAUUGUGGAAAGCUAAGGCAUUUGCCGGAUGGGUUACACGCAUUCCCUCUCCUUAAGUACAUGAAUAUAUCAGAAUGUUCUACUCUAGAGUUGAUUCCAAUUACACAGGGCCUUACGUACAUGCAUAUAUCAAAAUGUCCUAGUCUAAAGUCGAUUCCGAUUACACAGGACAUGGCAUCUCUACAAACAUUAAAGAUUGAAGAUUGUGAAAGACUGUCAGGCCUACCGAGUGGGUUAGACUACUGCACCUCUCUUCGCGAGUUGGUUAUUUCAAAAUGCCAUGGAUUAUCUGCCCCAUUGAGUAUAUGUGCCUCUCUCGUGGAAUUGAGUGUACAUGGGUGCGAUAAUCUGACAUCAAUUGAAAUUAAAGGCGGCGUGUCCCUCACGACCUCUAAUGUACUUGGAUCUUGUUGUUCUCUUGUGAGAUUAGUUAUUCGUAUGUGCAAAAAGCUGAGGCAUUUGCCAGAUGGGCUAGACACGCUCCCGCUCCUUGAGGAACUGACUAUUAAGGGAUGUGAUAGUCUAGAGUUGAUUCCAAUUGCACAGGGCAUGGCAUCUCUACGGGAAUUAGAGAUUGAAGAUUGUGGACGAUUGUCACACCUGCCGAGUGGGUUAAAGAACUGCACUUCUCUCGUGGAAGUGAGUUUAAGGAAUUGCAAUGGAUUAUCAGGCCCAUUGAGUAUAUGGGCCUCUCCCGUGGAAUUGUAUAUAUACAAAUGCAAUAAUCUGACAUCAAUUGAAAUGAAAGGCAGUGGAUCCCUCACCGCCUUUCUUCAGAUAUUAACGAUCAGGGAUUGCCGAGAAUUAUCAAGCAUACCUGCUCUUCCACAACAAUGUCCCUCUCUUGGGUACUUGGAGAUACGUGGAUGCCCAAAGCUAUCAUGGUUUGGUGUGAAAAGUAGGAGAGUUGAGAAGGAGGAGAAGUGCAUUAGUCUACAAUCUACUUCAGAUUUGCGCACCAUGACCUCCCUUCGACAACUGUUUAUUAUAAAUUGUGAAAGAUUAGAAAGUUGGGUGAGCAGCCUGCAAUUCCCACUCUCUCUUGAGACGCUGGCAAUAGUCGAUAUCCCUAAUUUACAGAUUCUUCCAAGUUUAGACAACCUCAAUUCUCUCCGUGAUUUGGAAAUCGGUGGGUUUUGGGAGGAGCUCGAUUCCUUCCCUGAUUUUCAAGUUGGAUCAUUAAUGCAUCUUACAAGGUUAUACUUGAGUGGUUGGCCUAAGCUCAAGUCUCUGCCUCAACAAAUUCAACACCUCACUUAUCUAACAUCUUUGUGGAUAAAGUCAUUUGAGGGAGUGGAGACUUUGCCAGAAUGGUUGGGUAGCCUUACAUCCCUUACGUGGCUGGAGAUUUCGAAUUGCAAGAAUCUGAAGAAUUUACCAAGUGUCCAAGCUAUGCAACGCCUCACCAAAUUACAAAAACUAUGGAUUUCUAGAUGUCAUCCCCUUUUAGAGGAAAGAUGCAGGAGGGACAGCGGCACAGAUUGGCCUAAGAUUUCUCACAUUCCAGAUAUCACAAUACGAGGUCUGAGACAAUACUUGGAUUGAAACUACGCAACUGGAACGAUGUAGUGCAGUAGGUACAAGCAGAGUCCAGAAUUGGGAUUUCGAUCAAAACGCAUGCGUGGAUCAAUAUCAUCAAAUCUUAAUUUGGAUACAAAUUGAAGCUUGGGCUUCCCAGCAUCCUUUGUGCCCUGCAUUGGUUCGGAAGGAGAGUGCAAGAAGCAGCCAGCUGUUGAAUAGAGGGAGAGCUUGAGAUUGGAAGUGAAAAAACUUUUGUACUACCCUAAUUUGUAACUCUCCUUCUCUCUUCACUUGCUCUCUAAAAGACUCUCUCAUGCUCCUUUUAAAAUGUAACCUGCAUUAUUAUAGUAAAAACUUGAGGAACUGCGUAGCCCAGCUUGCAUGUAUGGAAGUUGUGUUGUGGUGGAGGACAUCAGCAUAGGCUUUGCAGCAGCCAAAGCUGGAAUGAAGUGUAUCGUAACCAAAAUGGCAUCUAUAUUUCUUUUGGCAUGCUGUGGUGUUUUUCAGGAUGCUCAGUAAGUGCAAACUUGGUCCAGAAAUUGGGUAAAGAACAUCAGUUGCAAUGCUCAGUUAGGGAUUUUAUAAUUUGGCGAAUUUAAGAAAUCACGGAAAGGUCUACAAACCCGAAAUGGAUAAACUUCACCUUAGGUGGUUUCGGGGAAGAGCUCAAUUCCAUUCCUGAUGUUCAAGGUUGAUCAUGGUAGCUUGAAUCGUUACAUUUUAAAGGGUGGCCAAAGCUCAAGUCUCUGUCUCACCAAAUUAAACACUUCACUUCGUUAACUGCUUUAUGUAUCAACCACUUGAGGGAGUGGAGGCUUAACCAGACUUGUUGGGUGACCUUACAUCCCUUAUAGAGCUGGGAUUACGAAUUAUAAGAAUUUGAUGAAUCAACCCUCUGCCGAAGUUAUGCAAUGCGUCCGCAGUUUACUGUCGCAGUGAGUUAAGCAAUUUGAUAUCGCCCAGUAACUUGAUGCACUGUUGAGUACCCAUCUUAUUGCUGAAAUUAUCGAGAGUGAUAUUACUGUUGAUUUUUGUGUCUUUCCUAGCAGAACAUUCAAGAUUUUGGGACUUUCGGGAUUCAGUGAGAAAAGAGAUUUGAAUUCAGUUGACUUUUGUCUCUGUGAUUGAAACCUCGAGUAACUUGACGAACAGAGUGUACCCACACUAUUGAUCAGUAUGCAGAAUUGGGAUUUCAACCAAAACUCAUGCGUGGAUCGUGUAGGAAGUGUAGAGGGAUGGAAAUACUUAACAAGUUUAUGGGAAAUCUGAGUUGCUACAGCAGAGCUCUUAAGCUCGGGCUUCCUGGCGUCCUUUGUGCCCUGCAUUACUGUGAAAGGAGAGUGCAAGAAGCAGCCAGCUGUUGAAUAGAGGGACAGCUUGAGAUUUGAAACAACUAUUUUACUACCCUAGUUGUUUUCUCCGUUUCAUAUUCACCGUGAACUUAUUAGUCAUUAUGCCUUGAUGAUAACGAUGUCGUAAGAGUCAUUUGUGUUGCAAAACAAGGUCCAUAGUGGGUACUUUGGGUCUCUUCCUGAUGGUGUUUACUCAUCAUUGUCUCAACACCAUAGUAUUUUACAGAGUUCUUCGAGCUGUGAAGAUAUGAAGUAGUCUCCCUAUUUUAAGCAGAAAAUUCAAGCUGAAAACAAGUUACUUACUCCUACAAACAUAUGUGCAUUCUCUACCCCAAGGUUUAUGGAAUGAAGUGUAUGGGAGCCAAAAGCGGCAUGGGCAUGGGCCUUGCAGCAACUGAAUUUAUUGGAAUGAAGUGUAUCGUAACCCAAAGCGGAUACACAGCUGAAGAAGAAUUUCAAAAAGCAGAUGCAGUCUUUGACUUCUUUGGAAAUUCCUCGGAGGAGCGAUUUGACUUGGGAUUCCGCAGAAGCCUUUGUCAAACAGUAACAGUUUGUGACAUAAAUUUCAUUCAAUGCCGAUCCUCCAUUUACAAUACCUUGGAUGCUGAUUAGGGUUUCAGCUAAGAUAAUAGACCAGUAUGCAUUCGGUAGAAUAUUGAUAUACCGGUUGAAGUACAAGUUAGCUCUUCUCAAGCAGACUAAGUUUCCAUCGGUGAAUUGGUGAAUCUCUGGAUGGUGAAUUAUUACAAGGGCUUUCUUCUGCGUUGAUCGUUUCUCACUUGAGAUUCAAAGUUGGUUUGAGCUGAGUUUUGAUGGGGCAUGGAAGGAACAGGAAGAUGUAGAGGGGGAAUUGGAGUGGUGCUAAGAAACGACACGGGUCAGUUUGUGGCGGCGCUGGCGAUGAAACUGGACGGCAUCUCUUCACCGUUGUUGGCAGAAAUAGAGGCAGCAUGUGUCGCAAUCUUGCUGGUGCAAGAGUUAAACAAGGAACUGGUGGAACUUGAAGAAGAUGCAGCGUUGGUCCUUGCUGCGCUAAAUCUAAGAUGACAUGUCGUUGAUGGAUGGUAUAGUAAAUGAGGAGCGCUACUUCCUGCGCUCCACUCCACAAACCAAACUCAAGCAUGCUCGCAGGGAGACAAACAAGGUUGCUCACAGAUUGGCGCAAUUGGGGCUCACUCUAGAACAGCAACGAGUUUGGUUCGAGGAAUCUCCUGAUGUAAUCGCUGACCUUUUGAUAGAGGAUAGUUAAGUUUUAUAUUUUCGUGGUGUGGGACACUCUUUUUCCCUUCGACUGGGUUGAAAUCCCUAGCAAGGUUUUUAUCGAGGCCCAGUAAAAUGCACCCUAUCCUACUAUGUGUACGUAUUCUUUCUCAUAUCAAUGAAUAUCGUACCUCUUCUAAAAAAAAUA